rnacentral:rRNA from 1 species
UUUAACGCGAAAGGACCUUACCAGGUCUUGGGGUAUCUUCUGACAAUCCUAGAGAUAGGACGUUCCCCUUCGGGGGACAGAGUGACAGGUGGUGCAUGGUUGUCGUCAGCUCGUGUCGUGAGAUGUUGGGUUAAGUCCCGCAACGAGCGCAACCCUUGAUCUUAGUUGCCAGCAUUCAGUUGGGCACUCUAAGGUGACUGCCGGUGACAAACCGGAGGAAGGUGGGGAUGACGUCAAAUCAUCAUGCCCCUUAUGACCUGGGCUACACACGUGCUACAAUGGAUGGUACAAAGGGCUGCAAGACCGCGAGGUUUAGCCAAUCCCAUAAAACCAUUCUCAGUUCGGAUUGCAGGCUGCAACUCGCCUGCAUGAAGCCGGAAUCGCUAGUAAUCGCGGAUCAGCAUGCCCCGCGGUGAAUACGUUCCCGGGCCUUGUACACACCGA